CCGCUGGCCUUGACGGCGUCCUCCUCCUUCCGCUUCCUCCAGGCGACUGGAGACUACGCGGCUCUCGCGGAGGGCUAGGUGACCCAGCGGGAUGCGCCAAGGGAGGUGGUCAGGUGGAGGGGCGGAUCUCGUCUCCACGGGAUUCGCUGCCGUGGCCUCCGCCACCGGAGUUCGGUGACUCUGGGUCGGCCUCCUCUCCGCCACCGACGCCGUCCGCCGCCAAAUGAGCUCCUUCCCACAUCAGAUGUCUUCAACGCCGCCGACCAUGGCAGCAUCACUCUGGCCGGGCUCACUACCGACGGACGGUCCUCUCCGGCUUCCUCCACUGCGAGUGCAUCACCCACGGCUUCGUCUACGACGCGCAGGUCCGUCCCUCUUGGCUCUCUCUCCGUCUAUGCGCGACCCCACUUUGAAUAUGUGAGAGACCAUUAAUCUUAAUCGUCGCUCCACCAGAGGUGGAGGGGCAUACCUCGUCUCCACUGGAUCCGCAGCCACAGCCACCACCACCGGCGUUCGAUGCCUCUGCGUCGUUCUGUAAUCUUAACCCUCACUCUUGUUCACGCGGCGGCAUCCGAUCGGACGACGAUGAUGCUGGAGGUCGACGUGGCAGGGACAUCGACGCCCGUGGAUGAGGCAAAGGGGCUCUGAAUCGGCGGCUGGAGGAGGCCAUCAGCGGGCAGGGUAGAAAAUAAGAAAGAAUCCAUGUGGCCUCUCUGGUUUCAGCCGGUAAUAUUUGAUCUGAGGUAUCGUGCAGUCCUGGUUUGCGUUAAAAAAUUACACAACGCUUUCAUGAUAUUUGUAUGAAAUUGUAGCAGGGAUAGGACAAAUCACUAUGAAAUAUACAUUGUGAAAAAUGCAUGCUCAAACUUGUGAUAUUCCCAGUUCGUUAAAUUACGAAUGUGAAUUCUGCAUUUUUCUGAACUCUGAUGCCUUUUCAUCACAUAGGAUGAACUAAUCACUAAGGCUGCGUUUGGUAGCAAAGUUUUCAAAAAUACUACAGUAUCAAAUACUUUGAUGUGUUUGGCUAUGACUAAAAAUUGCAGUAUUAAUACUUUAGUAUCCUUCAAACUGUAGUAUUUUUGAAGUAUUAAAUAAACAUGGUCGGACCACUUUUUUCUGAAACGGAGAACAAUGAAAACGUUCCCGCUGAUGCAAUCGUUCCUUAGUUUAUGCAUGCUUGCAUGGAAUCUGGUACCUCUGAUGCCCUUUACUAUACCUCACAAUAUUUUGUACUACAAGUACAAACGUAUUUCAAGUCUUUUGCUUGAAGCAGUAUUUUGAUUUUUCUUGCCGAAGUAUAAAAUGUUGACAGGUUCCAACAUUCAUUACUUGUUCCAGGUAGGUAGGUAGGACUAUAUCUCGAAUGCUUGAGCAACUGACGCAAUAACCAUGUGUAGACGUCUGAUGGUCAAACGUGAAUCGAAGGGACAGUAAAACAACACUUGCCAAACACCUUGUAGUUUUUGCCAAAAAUUAAAAAUACCACGGUAUCAUGAAACUGCAGUAUUUUUGUCCAUUCACAUAAAUACUUUAGUUUUACAGUACUUCAGUUUUAGAGAAACUUUGUUGCCAAACUAAGCCUAACUUGCAGUCCUCCUGUUAUAAAAUUUUGCGUAAGUGGAUGAGUUGUUGCGUAAGUGGAUGAGUUGUGAUUGGAACGCAUGUACGGAGUAUGUUUUUGGCAGUCAGCAAUUGUAUCCUCAUCCUAAGCUUAUGGCCUAGAUGUGUUUGGAGUUAUUUUGACAUAGUAAUCCAUGUUCAGAUAGUGUUAAUGCUUCUCCACAAAUCUACUGAAGGUGAUUCCUGAAUCUGAAUUGUUAGUAUGACAAUAUUGACCGAGAGCACUUAGUUCUGAAAACCAAUUAUAUAUACCAGUUCUUUCAGUGCUUAGAGAGCAGUCAGUUAUGAAACCGAUUCUAUUACACCAGAAGUUGAUGCUCAAUUUAAUAUAUAUAAGAGUUGUUUUAUAGAAUUCCCUUUCAUAGUUUCUAACUCGUUCUGAUUAUUUUGACUGCAGUGUUAAGAGAGCAUUCAGUUAUGAAAACUGAUUCUCCUGGUUGUAGAUGGCAUUCAUGCUUAACAGGUGUGUGUGGCAGAAUGUUGUCUCCACGGCGCCUGGAAGUGUUCCGACGGCGAUCAGUGUGUGGGAGUGUCUCCGGCGGCGAUUGGCGAGCGGGAAUGCUGCCACGCUGGAUUGCUUCGGCGGCGAUCGUGGAGGCUGGA